rnacentral:rRNA from 1 species
UACGUAGGGGGCAAGCGUUGUCCGGAAUCAUUGGGCGUAAAGCGCGCGUAGGCGGCCCGGUAAGUCCGUUGUGAAAGUCAAAGGCUCAACCUUUGAACGCCGAUGGAUACUGCCGGGCUAGAGUCCGGAAGAGGCGAGUGGAAUUCCUGGUGUAGCGGUGAAAUGCGCAGAUAUCAGGAAGAACACCCGUGGCGAAGGCGGCUCUCUGGGCCUUACCUGACGCUGAGGAGCGAAAGCGUGGGUAGCGAACAGG